CGGGACGGGUGAGUAACGCGUGGGCAACCUGCCUUACACAGGGGGAUAACACUUAGAAAUAGGUGCUAAUACCGCAUAAGCGCACAGCUUUGCAUGAAGCAGUGUGAAAAACUCCGGUGGUGUAAGAUGGACCCGCGUCUGAUUAGCUGGUUGGCAGGGUAAAGGCCUACCAAGGCGACGAUCAGUAGCCGGCCUGAGAGGGUGAACGGCCACAUUGGGACUGAGACACGGCCCAGACUCCUACGGAAGGCAGCAG
rnacentral:rRNA from 1 species